GAUGAACGCUGGCGGCGUGCCUAAUACAUGCAAGUCGAGCGAACAGACGAGGAGCUUGCUCCUCUGACGUUAGCGGCGGACGGGUGAGUAACACGUGGAUAACCUACCUAUAAGACUGGGAUAACUUCGGGAAACCGGAGCUAAUACCGGAUAAUAUAUUGAACCGCAUGGUUCAAUAGUGAAAGACGGUUUUGCUGUCACUUAUAGAUGGAUCCGCGCCGCAUUAGCUAGUUGGUAAGGUAACGGCUUACCAAGGCAACGAUGCGUAGCCGACCUGAGAGGGUGAUCGGCCACACCGGAACUGAGACACGGUCCAGACUCCUACGGGAGGCAGCAGUAGGGAAUCUUCCGCAAUGGGCGAAAGCUUGACGGAGCAACGCCGCGUGAGUGAUGAAGGUCUUCGGAUCGUAAAACUCUGUUAUUAGGGAAGAACAAAUGUGUAAGUAACUAUGCACGUCUUGACGGUACCUAAGCAGAAAGCCACGGCUAACUACGU
rnacentral:rRNA from 1 species